UACGUAGGGUGCGAGCGUUAAUCGGAAUUACUUGGCGUAACGCGUGCGCAGGCGGCUUUGCAAGACAGAUGUGAAAUCCCCGGGCUCAACCUGGGAACUGCAUUUGUGACUGCAAGGCUAGAGUACGGCAGAGGGGGAUGGAAUUCCGCGUGUAGCAGUGAAAUGCGUAGAUAUGCGGAGGAACACCAAUGGCGAAGGCAAUCCCCUGGGCCUGUACUGACGCUCAUGCACGAAAGCGUGGGGAGCAAACAGG
rnacentral:rRNA from 1 species